rnacentral:lncRNA from 1 species
AAGUAACUAAUGGAAACAAAUAGUGUUAACAUGUAACUUACACAAUCAUCUAGCAAUUACACGUAAUACACAGAAACAUUUCAGAUUAACAUGCAUCUUACAUAAUCAUUAAUUGUUAACUAGUAUCUCUCACAAACAACUAGUGUUAAUAUGAAACUCAUGAUAGCAACUGGCAGUAAUAUGUAACACACAAAAACAUCUAGAUUAACAUGAACUUACAUAAUCAUUAAGUGUUAACU